UAUACAUGUAAACAAUAAGCGAGUGUAGCGCCACUUUCUUAUAAGUCAUCGAUGAGCUAACCAGGCUUCCAAAAAAAAUAUUAAAAACUUCUUAGUUAUUA